rnacentral:lncRNA from 1 species
AUGUGGACACACAUGCCCCCUCCUGUGGACACACACGUCCCCCUCCUGUGGACACACAUGUCCCCUCCUGUGGACACACACGUCCCCCUCCUGUGGACACACAUGUCCCCUCCUGUGGACACACACGUCCCCCUCCUGUGGACACACAUGUCCCCUCCUGUGGACACACACGUCCCCCUCCUGUGGACACACGUUGUCCCCCUCCUGUGGACACACAUGUCCCCCUCCUGUGGACACACACUGUCCCCCUCCUGUGGACACACAUGUCCCCCUCCUGUGGACACACACUGUCCCCCUCCUGUGGACACACACGUCCCCCUCCUGUGGACACACACGUCCCCCUCCUGUGGACACACACGUCCCCCUCCUGUGGACACACAUGCCCCCUCCUGUGGACACACACGUCCCCCUCCUGUGGACACACGUUGUCCCCCUCCUGUGGACACACAUGUCCCCCUCCUGUGGACACACAUGUCCCCUCCUGUGGACACACACGUCCCCCUCCUGUGGACACACACGUCCCCCUCCUGUGGACACACGUUGUCCCCCUCCUGUGGACACACGUUGUCCCCCUCCUGUGGACACACAUGUCCCCCUCCUGUGGACACACAUGCCCCCUCCUGUGGACGCACAUGUCCCCUCCUGUGGACGCACAUGUCCCCUCCUGUGGACACACAUGCCCCCUCCUGUGGACACACAUGUCCCCUCCUGUGGACACACACUGUCCCCUCCUGUGGACACACAUGUCCCCCUCCUGUGGACACACACGUCCCCCUCCUGUGGACACACACAUGCCCCCUCCUGUGGACACACAUGCCCCCUCCUGUGGACACACACGUCCCCUCCUGUGGACACACAUGUCCCCCUCCUGUGGACACACAUGUCCCCUCCUGUGGACACACACGUCCCCCUCCUGUGGACACACAUGCCCCCUCCUGUGGACACACAUGUCGCCUCCUGUGGACACACACUGUCCCCUCCUGUGGACACACAUGCCCCCUCCUGUGGACACACAUGCCCCCUCCUGUGGACACACACUGUCCCCUCCUGUGGACACACAUGCCCCCUCCUGUGGACACACAUGUCCCCUUCCUAUGGACACACAUGCCCCCUCCUGUGGACACACAUGUCCCCCACCUGUGGACACACACAUCCCCCUCCUGUGGACACACACAUGCCCCCUCCUGUGGACACACAUGCCCCCUCCUGUGGACACACACUGUCUCCCUCCUGUGGACACACACUGUCCCUCCUGUGGACACACAUUGUCCCCCUCCUGUGGACACACACAUGUCCCCUCCUGUGGACACACAUGCCCCCUCCUGUGGACACACACCGUCCCCCCCACGGACACUCACUGCCCCCUACCUAGACUGUCAGCCUCUAGGGCUAGUGCUGGGCAGCACGCCAUCCUCGGGGCUGGAAGGGCAGGGUCUACCCUGGCCUCUGCCGGUUCCAUUCAUGUGA